GGCUGGUUCGGAACAUAGUGAGUUCUCUCAACUGACUGUUUACUGUCAAUUGCAAAUGGAACUGAUUGUUCUAUUUAUUUCCCUCUUCUUACUACUGCACUUGACUAGCCUAAA
rnacentral:Y_RNA from 1 species